GUGACUUUUGAAGAAGAAAAUAUAUUUCCAAAAUAGCCCCGACCUUAUCUCAUUUACAAGAUAAACAAUUGGUGCUAGAUCUCAAAAUCAAGAGCCGCUCUCUCUCAUUCAAAAACUCAGUCUGGUAACGGUGAGAGCGAAUUGAGUGGAGACUUAUCGACAACAAGCGGAUCGACUAGUUUACAUAUACGACAGCGGUAUCUUUAACUUUAAUCUGAUAUUGGUUGGGUGGAUUUUUUGCUGGAUUGCAUGUCGCCAGAAAUUAAAUGGUUGCAUAUUUUGCCAAACAUUAAAUGGGUUUAGUGUUUUGGUUUGUAAAUUAAAUGGCUGGAUUUUAUACUACAGUUCAACCAUGUUUGGGGAAAUUAGUUUGUUCGUUGUUGUGUUAAAUAUAUGAAGCUACUCUAAUUGAGAAGUGCGUUUCUGUCACUUUGAUAUUUCUUCAUUUUUGUCUGCCUUCAUGGGUAUGUUAUAGUUGAAGUUACAAUUUUACCAUA